rnacentral:rRNA from 1 species
GACGAACGCUGGCGGCGUGCUUAACACAUGCAAGUCGAACGGAGUGGCGAACGGGUGAGUAACACGUGGGUGACCUGCCCUGCACUUCGGGAUAAGCCUGGGAAACUGGGUCUAAUACCGGAGCGUGUGGGAUGGGCCCGCGGCCUAUCAGCUUGUUGGUGGGGUAAUGGACUACCAAGGCGGCGCCGGGUGGCCGGCCUGGGAGGGUGGACGGCCACAUUGGGACUGAGACACGGCCCAGACUCGUACGGGAGGCAGCAGUGGGGAGUAUUGCACAAUGGGCGGAAGCCUGAUGCGGCGACGCGGCGUGGGGGAUGACGGCCUUCGGGUUGUAAACUCCUUUCACCAUCGACGCGGUAGAUGGAGAAGAAGCACCGGCUAACUACGUGCCAGCCGCCGCGGUAAUUC